rnacentral:rRNA from 1 species
GACGAACGCUGGCGGCGUGCUUAACACAUGCAAGUCGUACGGAAAGGCCCUGCUUGCAGUGUACUCGUGUGGCGAACGGGUGAGUAACGCGUGUGAGAUGUGCCCUGCACUUCGGGAUCAGCCUGGGACUCUAGCUCAAAUACGGGAUAGGCGCCAUCUUCAUUGUGAUGGUUGGAAAGCUUUUUCGGUUGAGGAUGAACUCGCGGCCUAUCAGCUUGUUGGUGGGGUAAUGGCCUACCAAGGCGGCGACGGGUAGCCGGCCUGAGAGGGUGGACGGCCACAUUGGGACUGAGAUACGGCCCAGACUCCUACGGGAGGCAGCAGUGGGGAAUAUUGCACAAUGGGCGCAAGCCUGAUGCAGCGACGCCGCGUGGGGGAUGACGGCCUUCAGGUUGUAAACCGCUUUCGCUAGGGACGAAGCUUUUUGUGACGGUACCUAGAGAAGAAGCACCGGCUAACUACGUG